rnacentral:rRNA from 1 species
UAUUUAUUUAAUUCUGGUUAUGGGAGGUCAGGAGGUAGUACCACAUAGGAAGCUUCUUUUUUGGUUGGAAGGGGAUAUCCUUUCUGUGCUUAGUGGUUAGAUCUUGUUGUUAAAGAAAUUUAGAGCAGGCUACCCCUGAAAGUGGUUUAUUCACAGUGCCAGCAGCCGCGGUUAAUCUGUAGCUUUUACCUUCCACUUGGUUAAAAUGGUUUUCUAAGUAAAUAAGAAACAGAGAGUAGAAUGAUUCUUUCUUUUGUGAUAAGCUUAGAGGUACGAGAAGGAGCUUUUGGGAUAAGGAUUAGAGACCCUUGUACCUGCUUUGAGAUUUUAUAUCCUUGGUUAUCAACUAAAAGAAUUUGGCAGCUGGUCAAGUUCGUCCGGGGGAGUGUGUACCGUAAGAGAUAGUCCGCUUAUGAUUUUACCAACUUAAUUUUGUUAGUGUAUAUCCGGUUUAAUACCUUUAGUUAGUGCUUAUGGGUGUUAUAUAAUAUUUAAUCCAGGUCGAUGUGCUGCUUAUAUGUUGGUGGGUUUAUGCACUACUGUUACAAAACGUUGUUUCUGAAAGGAGGCAAAGUAUUUAGGACUCGGAAGUAGGCGUGAGGGAGACUGUCAUGUCGAAAGAGAUAAGACUGGGGUACAUACCGCCCGUCACCCAGGGUGUCAACUGUGGUAAGUCGUAACAUGGUAACAGUGGGGGAACCGAUUGUUAGUUGGCC